AUGUUAUUUAUGUUUUAUUCAGCUUUGAACCCAUCACUAUUUUCUGAGCUCCUGAACUCAAUUGAGCACCUCAAUGGGACUAACUUUCCUACAUGGAAGGAGCAGAUUUUCAUUAACCUUGGAGUCAUGGAUCUUGACUACGCACUUAGGGAGAAGGCUCCAGUUCCCUUGUCCUCUGAUGAUGAAAACCUUGCUCGGAAAACUAAGGUUUAUGAGGCUAACAAGGAGGAGUGGGAGCGCUCCGAUCGAUUGUCCCUCAUGAUCAUGAAAAGUAUAAUUACUCUUGGGGUUAGGGGAGCUAUUCCCGAUUCUGAAUGUGCUAAGACUUAUCUGGCAUCGGUGGAGGAACAGUUUAAAGACUCCACAAAAGUCUAUGUCAGUACGCUGAUCAUGAAAAUGCUCACGACUAAGUGUGAUGGUGCAAGCGCUGUGAGAGAACAUAUCAUGACUAUGAACGAUAUGGCCGCAAAAUUAAAGGGCAUGGACAUGGAGAUUUCUGAGGGCUUUUUGGUUCAUUUCAUUAUGACUUCCCUUCCUCUGGAGUUUGGUCCAUUCAAGAUCAACUAUAACACACAGGAGAAGUGGAUCAUGGGUGAGCUCACGGCUAUGUGCGUUCAAGAAGAAGAGCGACUUGAGAUAGAGAGAAAAGAUUACGCUCAUCUUACUUCCAUGAACGAGUCAAUAAAACCACCACAUUGA
rnacentral:rRNA from 1 species